rnacentral:tRNA from 1 species
UGGCAAUUAGUUUAAACAAAACAAGUGAUUUCGACUCACUAGAUUAUGAACACUCAUAACUGCCAA